UACGGAGGGGGCUAGCGUUGUUCGGAAUUACUGGGCGUAAAGCGCACGUAGGCGGCUUUGUAAGUUAGAGGUGAAAGCCUGGAGCUCAACUCCAGAAUUGCCUUUAAGACUGCAUCGCUUGAAUCAUGGAGAGGCGGGUGGAAUUCCGAGUGUAGAGGUGAAAUUCGUAGAUAUUCGGAAGAACACCAGUGGCGAAGGCGGCCCGCUGGACAUGUAUUGACGCUGAGGUGCGAAAGCGUGGGGAGCAAACAGG
rnacentral:rRNA from 1 species